GGUAAGCUAGCUCAGUCGGUAGAGCAUGAGACUCUUAAUCUCAGGGUCGUGGGUUUGAGCCCCACGUUGAUCG
rnacentral:tRNA from 2 species